rnacentral:rRNA from 1 species
AAAUUGAAGAGUUUGAUCAUGGCUCAGAUUGAACGCUGGCGGCAGGCCUAACACAUGCAAGUCGAGCGGUAGCACAGAGAGCUUGCUCUCGGGUGACGAGCGGCGGACGGGUGAGUAAUGUCUGGGAAACUGCCUGAUGGAGGGGGAUAACUACUGGAAACGGUAGCUAAUACCGCAUAACGUCGCAAGACCAAAGUGGGGGACCUUCGGGCCUCAUGCCAUCAGAUGUGCCCAGAUGGGAUUAGCUAGUAGGUGGGGUAAUGGCUCACCUAGGCGACGAUCCCUAGCUGGUCUGAGAGGAUGACCAGCCACACUGGAACUGAGACACGGUCCAGACUCCUACGGGAGGCAGCAGUGGGGAAUAUUGCACAAUGGGCGCAAGCCUGAUGCAGCCAUGCCGCGUGUGUGAAGAAGGCCUUCGGGUUGUAAAGCACUUUCAGCGGGGAGGAAGGCGAUAAGGUUAAUAACCUUGUCGAUUGACGUUACCCGCAGAAGAAGCACCGGCUAACUCCGUGCCAGCAGCCGCGGUAAUACGGAGGGUGCAAGCGUUAAUCGGAAUUACUGGGCGUAAAGCGCACGCAGGCGGUCUGUCAAGUCGGAUGUGAAAUCCCCGGGCUUAACCUGGGAACUGCAUUCGAAACUGGCAGGCUAGAGUCUUGUAGAGGGGGGUAGAAUUCCAGGUGUAGCGGUGAAAUGCGUAGAGAUCUGGAGGAAUACCGGUGGCGAAGGCGGCCCCCUGGACAAAGACUGACGCUCAGGUGCGAAAGCGUGGGGAGCAAACAGGAUUAGAUACCCUGGUAGUCCACGCCGUAAACGAUGUCGAUUUGGAGGUUGUGCCCUUGAGGCGUGGCUUCCGGAGCUAACGCGUUAAAUCGACCGCCUGGGGAGUACGGCCGCAAGGUUAAAACUCAAAUGAAUUGACGGGGGCCCGCACAAGCGGUGGAGCAUGUGGUUUAAUUCGAUGCAACGCGAAGAACCUUACCUGGUCUUGACAUCCACAGAACUUUCCAGAGAUGGAUUGGUGCCUUCGGGAACUGUGAGACAGGUGCUGCAUGGCUGUCGUCAGCUCGUGUUGUGAAAUGUUGGGUUAAGUCCCGCAACGAGCGCAACCCUUAUCCUUUGUUGCCAGCGGUCCGGCCGGGAACUCAAAGGAGACUGCCAGUGAUAAACUGGAGGAAGGUGGGGAUGACGUCAAGUCAUCAUGGCCCUUACGACCAGGGCUACACACGUGCUACAAUGGCAUAUACAAAGAGAAGCGACCUCGCGAGAGCAAGCGGACCUCAUAAAGUAUGUCGUAGUCCGGAUUGGAGUCUGCAACUCGACUCCAUGAAGUCGGAAUCGCUAGUAAUCGUAGAUCAGAAUGCUACGGUGAAUACGUUCCCGGGCCUUGUACACACCGCCCGUCACACCAUGGGAGUGGGUUGCAAAAGAAGUAGGUAGCUUAACCUUCGGGAGGGCGCUUACCACUUUGUGAUUCAUGACUGGGGUGAAGUCGUAACAAGGUAACCGUAGGGGAACCUGCGGUUGGAUCACCUCCUUA